rnacentral:rRNA from 1 species
GAUGAACGCUGGCGGCGUGCUUAACACAUGCAAGUCGAACGAUGAAGCCCAGCCUGCUGGGCGGAUUAGUGGCGAACGGGUGAGUAACACGUGAGUAACCUGCCCUUGACUCUGGGAUAAGCCCGGGAAACUGGGUCUAAUACCGGAUAGGAGCGCCUGUCGCAUGACGGGUGCUGGAAAGAUUUUUCGGUCAUGGAUGGACUCGCGGCCUAUCAGCUUGUUGGUGAGGUAACGGCUCACCAAGGCGACGACGGGUAGCCGGCCUGAGAGGGUGACCGGCCACACUGGGACUGAGACACGGCCCAGACUCCUACGGGAGGCAGCAGUGGGGAAUAUUGCACAAUGGGCGGAAGCCUGAUGCAGCGACGCCGCGUGAGGGAUGACGGCCUUCGG